rnacentral:SRP_RNA from 1 species
UGUUGGUUCUCCCGCAACGCUACUCUGUUUACCAGGUCAGGUCCGGAAGGAAGCAGCCAAGGCAGAUGACGCUUGUGCCGGGAUGUAGCUGGCAGGG